rnacentral:rRNA from 1 species
AAGGUAGCAUAAUCAUUUGCCUUUUAAUUGAAGGCUAGUAUGAAAGGACACACAAGAAUAAAGCUGUCUCAUGUGGGCACACAUAAACUAAUAUUUAGGUGCAGAAGCCUAAAUCCAUAUAAAGGACAAGAAGACCCUAUAGAGCUUCACUGAUAAAAGCCAUUACACUUCACUCUCAGUUUGGUUGGGACAACCAAAAGACAAAAAAACCUCUUCUUUUAUUCAACCACCACCCCACCCAUCAAUGAAUUAGAAUACUAGCUACCUUAGGGAUAACAGGCUAAUCCUACUAAAGAGAUCACAUUGACAGUAGGGGUUGGCACCUCG